rnacentral:rRNA from 1 species
AUUAGGAAUCUUGUGCAAUGGGCGAAAGCCUGACACAGCGACGCCGCGUGGAGGACGACGGCCUUCGGGUUGUAAACUCCUUUUGUCAGGGAAGAAACAAAUGACGGUACCUGACGAAUAAGCCCCGGCUAACUCCGUGCCAGCAGCCGCGGUAAUACGGAGGGGGCGAGCGUUGUCCGAAGUUACUGGGCGUAAAGCGCGCGUAGGCGGGGAGGGAAGUCCGCUGUGAAAGCCUGAGGCUCAACCUCAGCGGGUCGGUGGAUACUUCCUCUCUUGAAGGUGCUAGGGGGAGAUGGAAUUACCGGUGUAGCGGUGAAAUGCGUAGAGAUCGGUAGGAACACCAGUGGCGAAGGCGGUCUCCUGGGGCAUUCUUGACGCUGAUGCGCGAAAGCUGGGGGAGCGAACGG